GAGACAACUUCCUUCAACUUGAAGCAAAAUACUUUCAGAUACAGAGGAAGACACAUACUCAGGAAGUGUUAAAUGAGUUUGUUUCAUGUUUGGGAGUAGAAUGAUUGCUGCUGAAAGGCAGAGCUCAGUAUCUACAGUUCAGAAAGAAUGGUGAGAAACUGGAGAGGGUCCAGAGAAGAACCUUGAGAAUAAUAAAGGUCAACUUUUAUUCUGCAAAAUGCCACUUUUGAAGUUUAUCCACUUUUGAUAUUGAAUCUUCAAUCAAAGAAAAACAGACCCAAAACAGGAGGCAAAUUGUGUUUCAGUCUCCCAGGUAUUUCAACAGCAGUAUAGACUUGUUACAGCUCUUUCAAGGAGAUCUACAAGUGACUCCAAAAUGAGAAAGUGUCAGACCACGGGGGACAGCAUGAGGGAAUACAUGUAACAUAUAAAAAGUCUCGUU
rnacentral:lncRNA from 1 species